rnacentral:tRNA from 1 species
GAUGAAAUGGCUGAAGUUUAGGUAAUAAAUUGUAAAUUUAUUUAUGAAAAGUAUUUUUCUUUCAUCA